rnacentral:lncRNA from 1 species
GGGGAUCAUUAGGUACGGCGUCUCCACUGGUCCUUCUUCGCGGCAGGGGUUCCUUCUUCGGUUAACCUAUAUAGAAAAGGACGCUAAACACAAUGAUUAAAUAAUUACGUGAAACGAAAAAUGGGAAGGGACUCAUUGUAAAAAUUUUUGAGUUUUGGCCGCGAUGGCUCCGUCGGGCUUUGCCCAUAGUUUUCGACUCACU